rnacentral:rRNA from 1 species
CCUACGGGAGGCAGCAGCAGGGAAUCUUGCGCAAUGGGCGAAAGCCUGACGCAGCAACGCCGCGUGUGGGAUGAAGGCCUUCGGGUUGUAAACCACUUUCAGGAGGGAAGAAAUUGACGGUACCUCCAAAAGAAGCCCCGGCCAACUACGUGCCAGCAGCCGCGGUAAUACGUAGGGGGCGAGCGUUAUCCGGAAUCAUUGGGCGUAAAGAGCUCGUAGGCGGUUCAGCAAGUCAACUGUGAAAGUCCAAGGCUCAACCUUGGAAAUGCAGUCGAUACUGCUGUGACUAGAGUCUGGUAGAGGAGAAUGGAAUUCCCGGUGUAGCGGUGGAAUGCGCAGAUAUCGGGAGGAACACCAGUAGCGAAGGCGGUUCUCUGGGCCUCGACUGACGCUGAGGAGCGAAAGCAUGGGUAGCAAACAGGAUUAGAUACCCUUGUAGU